rnacentral:rRNA from 1 species
UACGUAGGGGGCUAGCGUUGUCCGGAAUCAUUGGGCGUAAAGAGCGUGUAGGCGGCUCGGUAAGUCCGCUCUGAAAGCCCGGGGCUCAACCCCGGGAGGCGGGCGGAUACUGUCGAGCUAGAGUCCGGAAGAGGCGAGUGGAAUUCCUGGUGUAGCGGUGAAAUGCGCAGAUAUCAGGAGGAACACCAAUGGCGAAGGCAGCACUCUGGGACGUGACUGACGCUGAGACGCGAAAGCGUGGGGAGCAAACAGG